CCGUGCCUUCCGGCGAGGCUGGAGCGAUGGCCUCGCGCCGCAAGCAAUGUGGGCAAAGGUAUUAUUAGGCCCUAAAGCUGCGGCGUGGGCCGGAUGGGAUAAACUCCUCUGAUAUCAAGCCCAUAGUGUUUGCCUCAGAAGGUCCUGCGGGAAGCUUAAAAGUGGGGCCCGCUACCGAGUGCCUGCUCCUGCCCCACACCCGCCUGAAGAUACUCUAGACCUGCUUCCCCCUUGUUGCUCUCCCUGUCAGUUUGCCUACGCGUGGCGUGUUACUGUUAUGACUUAACCUUGGCCUCACGGUUCUGUGACUUCAUGGUCACUCCAUGACUCACCUCUGGCGACUUGGCAGCUCAGUUUGCCUGGUUCUCUAGAGCUCAGAGAUCCAAGUAUAUGUAAGUUACUGAAUUUGCCCUGGACUUACUCAGCUCUGGGAUAGAUGCCCGGUACAGAGACUAUAUGAUGUCCGGUGCCAUGACAGGAAUGUGUGCGUACAGAGCUACAGAAUCACGUUCUGCAGAGUUUAAAUGUUUCCGGAGGAAAUAAUGCCUCACUUGUGAUGGUUAGUAAUUUGGACCGGGUAUGCCUAUAACCCCAGCACUAGGGAGGCAGUGGCAGGUAGAUCUCUGAGUUUGAGGCCAACUUGGUCUACAUUGUCCUAAGCCAAAUGGCAGACAUGUUGAGACAUUGUCCAAAAGAAUGAAAUGAAUAAAUUUAAGAGACAGGAUUCAAGUUUAUGAAACAAUGCAAAGGUGCUCUGGUGGCUAAAAUAUUGCUGAGGUUUAAAGUUAAAUGUAAGUAUACAGAGAGCUGAGUGGUGGUGCCCACCUUUAAUCCCAGCACUGGGGAGGCCGAGGCAGGUGGAUCUCUGAGUUGGAGGCCAGCCAGUUCUACAGAUUGAGUUCCAGGACAGCCAGGGAUUCACAGAGAAAUCCUGUCUCAAAAUAUAGGAAGGAGAGAGGGAGGGAGAGAGAGAAGAAAGUGUACAAAGGAGAGUGAGUCCUAAAAGGGUAUGUCUCCAUCAAAUCCCUCCCCUCAGAAAUCAGGGAACCACAAAGGAAGAGGAGGCAGAAAGAGAGUAAGAGCCAGAGGAGAUGGAGAACACCAAGAAAACAAGAUCUAAAUCAAAAAGAUCAGUGUUAGCUGGUGGCACUAUGCUUUACGACCCUAGGUGUACUUUACGGACAAGCGCACAGCAAUGACACACAGAGCAUAGCAACCACCCUGGGAGGGCCUAUGGGCCAUAACAACCAGUUGGCCAAUCAACACAGGGCAAGCCCUCCAAGCCUGGAGGCACACCAAUCAUGAGCCUGUGCGUACCCCUAGACCCUCCCCUUACUCUGCCCUACAAAAUUUCUCUCUGCAGCGAUUCGAGCUGUGUUUUGCGAGCCAUCCACCAUGGCAGGUGGGUGAAAGACCCGAGCUAACAUGGGGUUAGCUCGUUAAAUUACAAUAAAGCCUCAUGCAGUUUGCAGCAAGCUCUC